UACGUAGGGUGCAAGCGUUAAUCGGAAUUACUGGGCGUAAAGUGUGCGCAGGCGGCCGAGCAAGUCGAGUGUGAAAGCCCCGAGCUUAACUUGGGAACUGCGCUCGAAACUACUUGGCUGGAGUGUGGCAGAGGAAGGUGGAAUUCCACGUGUAGCGGUGAAAUGCGUAGAGAUGUGGAGGAACACCGAUGGCGAAGGCAGCCUUCUGGGCCAACACUGACGCUCAUGCACGAAAGCGUGGGGAGCAAACAGG
rnacentral:rRNA from 1 species